AACCAAUAUUACCAAUUAUUUUAUUUAAAAUUUUAUGCUAUUUUUAUCUUAAUUAAUCUCUAUGCAAAUUUGUGUAAUUUGGUAUGUACUUAAAUUUGUGACUGACAUUAAUAUUUUCAUGUCUUCCUCCCAAACGAAAUAAAAAACAUUUAUUUCAAAUUUUAUGGGGUUUAAAUUUUGUAGGUAGGUAAUACAGAGUGCUCAAAAACUGGCGCACUAACUCAGUGGUACGUUAUUGAGAAGCAAGUGCAGAUUACGGGAAAAAUGUUAGAAAAAUUCCUAAAGUUAUAUUUUAAAAAAUCUGGAGCUACAAACUUACUGUGUUAAUUUCUUUAGUUUUCAUUAUUUUUUUAUAUUUCUAUGUUUCAUACCAGGUAAUCGUUCCGUAACAAAACGAUGAAUAAUUAUUUUAAAAUUUACUAUCAGAUUUUAGUAGUUUUUUUAAUUUAAAAAAAUUAAAAUUCAUCCAAAAAAUCACAAUGUGUAGAUGUGCCAACACUGGGAAUUAUUUCCUAGGAAACUGUUUCAAAAAUAAUUUAUUUUUAUUGUUGCCCAAAUUCUAUUGCGAUUAUGACUGUUAGACAACGUUGCCACAUAUCAUUUAUCUAAAAUCCGUUAUUUAUCAAUAACUUUAAUACAAAGAAUUUUUUACUAUUUCUACCUUUAUAUGUAACCACUUCUCUACCACACACCAUUGAGUUGGUGCGCCAGUUUUUGAGCACGCUGUAUGCUUUUUAAAAAUCGAUUGUACUAUUAUUAGCUAUUUGAUUACUGAUUUUUUAAUAUAAAUUGCAGUCCACACUACAUACGUAGAUUUAGAAACAACAACGUGAAAUAAUAAAAAAAAUCAGGAAAAUGAACCGCAAAAGAAUUGUUACCAAAACGGAAUGCUGCAGAUAAAUCUUCUUCGACAAGUUUUCGGAAAGUAGUCGAAGAUUUUUUGACCAACAAAUACUACCAAAAACUUAUAAACAAUUUGAUGAAAAAUUUCAAAAAUUUAGGAUGCAGAAUGUCCAAUAAAAUGUUUUUUUACAUUCACAUUGGGACUUUUUUGAAAAAUUUGGGUGCUAUAAGCGGAAAACAUGAGGAAAGGUUCUAUCAAAAUAUAAAAGCGUUAUCAAGGAAAAGUAACGCGGCAAUGAUGGUAGGUUACGUAUGAACCUUGCAACCAAAAAGUAAAUUCACUUUGAAAGGAAAAAAGAUUAAAUGUUUAUGUUUAGUCGACAUAAUUUUAACAGAAGGUGUUUUUCAUAUUUCUUCAUUUGUUAAAUAAAAAUGUUUUCUUUGGCUUUAUUUGCUUUAUUUUUUGGUAUUUGAUUUAAUGUUAUAGUCUAAUUUAAUGAAAAGUAAAAUAUAACGUAAGUUCCAAAAACGUAAAGACAGUAGCAUGAAAUUUGUUGAAAAUUGAAAAUUGUAAACAAUCCUAUAUACAAACAAAAAGUUAUAAUUUGUUUCAUAGUGUUAUUUGUAGCAAGAACCGUCUUUAUGUAAUUUAGUUUAAUUUAGAAACAACUCUCCAACUACUUAAAGUUUUGACUGAUAUUAAUAUUAUCUUAUCUUCCGCCCAAACGAAAUAAAAAAAAAUUAUUUCAGAUUUUGUGCGGUUUAAAUUUUCUAUUAUAAUUUUUUAUACGGUUUUUAAGAUCUUAUUGUACUUAUUAUUAUUUGAUCGAUUAUUUUUAUAUAAAUUGCAAUUCACACUUAUCUUGCGACGAUUUCGAAAGUAAUCACAGCAACAUGAAGUUCUUUGGAGUAGUACUAUUUGUGUUCUUACUUGUGGCGGAAAGCUUUCAGCAAGGGUUUUGGUCACCCAGAACUUUUAUCGGUCGACGAAAGGCUGACUAUUGUGACGAAGUCUGUGGAAAAUGUUCUUAAACUUUUUGGUCAAAAUGAAAUUAUUUGGCCUUUUUAAAAAAUAAAACACUAAAGCACGUAUAAAA